GUUGAACGCUGGCGGCAUGCCUAACACAUGCAAGUCGAGCGGAUGAAGGGAGCUUGCUCCUGGAUUCAGCGGCGGACGGGUGAGUCAUGCCUAGGAAUCUGCCUGGUCGUGGGGGAUAACGUCCGGAAACGGGCUCUAAUACCGCAUGCGUACUGUGGGAGAAUGAAGGGGAUAUUCGGAGCUCACGCUCUCUGCUUAGCCUAGGGCGGAUUAGCUAGUUGGUGGGGUAAAAGCCUACCAAGGCGACGAUCCGUAACUGGUCUGAGAGGAUGAUCAGCCACACUGGAACUGAGACAGGCUCCAAACGCCUACGGGAGGCAGCAGUGGGGAAUAGUGGACAAUGGGCGAAGACCUGAGCCAGCCAGGCCGCGUGUGUGAAGAAGGUCUUCGGAGUGUAAAGCACUUUAUGUUGGGAGGAAGGGUAGUAAGUUAAGACCUGGCUGUUUUGACGGUACCAACAGAAUAAGCAACGGCUAACUUCGUG
rnacentral:rRNA from 1 species